UUGAGCCGUAUGCGGGGAAACUUGCACGUGCGGUUCUUUGAGGGGGGGGAGCUUGCUCGAAAGAGCCUACCUAUCCCGAU
rfam:Angiopteris palmiformis mitochondrial nad5 gene, partial